UACGGAGGGAGCUAGCGUUGUUCGGAAUUACUGGGCGUAAAGGGCGCGUAGGCGGCUUGGCAAGUGGAAGGUGAAAUCCCUCGGCUUAACCGAGGAACUGCCCUCCAAACUGCUUUGCUUGAGGCCGGGAGAGGUGAGUGGAAUUCCCAGUGUAGCGGUGAAAUGCGUAGAUAUUGGGAGGAACACCAGUGGCGAAGGCGGCUCACUGGACCGGUUCUGACGCUGAUGCGCGAAAGCGUGGGGAGCAAACGGG
rnacentral:rRNA from 1 species